rnacentral:lncRNA from 1 species
CUUUCAUCCCCCUUAAUUAAUCAAAAACAAAUGAAAUAGGAGGACCAAAUGUCCUCAUCAUCCCAGAUUCCUAAAAUGCAUCAAAGAAAAAUUUCACCAAUCACUAUAGUUCAUUAGACCUCAAUAUAUUUUGCACGUCAACAUAUCAAAUAUUUUAGUGAUCCUCAAACUAUGCUCUGAUACCACCUCUGUCACGCCCCUCAAAAUAUCCA